rnacentral:tRNA from 1 species
GCCCAGGUGGCGGAAUUGGUAGACGCGCUGGCUUCAGGUGCCAGUGGCCGNNAGGNCGUGGAAGUUCGAGUCUUCUCCUGGGCACCA